AAAGGAAUUGACGGGGACCCGCACAAGCGGUGGAGCAUGUGCUUUAAUUCGAUGCAACGCGAAGAACCUUACCCGGUCUUGACAUAGUUUUGACCAUCAUAGAGAUAUGAUUUUCAGCAAUGACAAAACAUACAGAUGCUGCAUGGUUGUCGUCAGCUCGUGUCGUGAGAUGUUGGGUUAAGUCCCGCAACGAGCGCAACCCUUGCCGAUAGUUGCUAACAUUCAGUUGAGAACUCUAUCGGGACUGCUUUCGCAAGGAAGAGGAAGGUGGGGAUGACGUCAAAUCAUCAUGGCUCUUACGACCGGGGCUAGACACGUGCUACAAUGGUAACUACAAUGGGUCGCUACUUAGCAAUAAGAUGCCAAUCUCAAAAAAGUUAUCUCAGUUCGGAUUGAGGUCUGCAACUCGACCUCAUGAAGUUGGAAUCGCUAGUAAUCGUAGGUCAGCAUACUACGGUGAAUACGUUCCCGGGUCUUGUACACACCGCCCGU
rnacentral:rRNA from 1 species